GAUGAAGAACGCAGCGAAAUGCGAUAAGUAAUGUGAAUUGCAGAAUCCAGUGAAUCAUCGAAUCUUUGAACGCACAUUGCGCCCGCCAGCAUUCUGGCGGGCAUGCCUGUUCGAGCGUCAUUUCAACCCUCGACCUCCCUUUGGGGAAGUCGGCGUUGGGGACCGGCAGCACACCGCCGGCCCUGAAAUGGAGUGGCGGCCCGUCCGCGGCGACCUCUGCGUAGUAAACCAACUCGCACCGGAACCCCGAAGUGGCCACGCCGUAAAACACCCAACUUCUGAACGUUGACCUCGAAUCAGGUAGGACUACCCGCUGAACUUAAGCAUAUCAAUAAGCGGAGGA
rnacentral:misc_RNA from 1 species